rnacentral:rRNA from 1 species
UACAGAGGGUGCGAACGUUGCUCGGAAUUACUGGGCGUAAAGCGCAUGUAGGCGGACCUGCAAGUCAGAUGUGAAAUCCCCGGGCUCAACCCGGGAACUGCAUCUGAAACUGCAGGCCUUGAGUACUGGAGAGGGCGGCGGAAUUCCUGGUGUAGAGGUGAAAUGCGUAGAUAUCUGGAGGAACACCGGUGGCGAAGGCGGCAUCCUGGACCAACACUGACGCUGAGGAGCGAAAGCCAGGGGAGCAAACGGG